UUCUUUUGCCCCCUUUUGUUUUGAAGAGGAGAAAGGGAGACAAGAAAUUCAGGCACCAAAAACCGCCUCGAUCGUCUCCGGCGAGAUGGUUAAAAAGGAAAAAAAAAAAAAGCGCCCAAGAAGCGGAAAACGUCCUGGAUUUCUGUAAAAGCGCCCUCCCUAGUGAGUGGAGAUUGGCAAACAGCUCGUUCUCUGCCCAGACCAUGGCUGGAAGGCAGCAUGGGCUCUGGGAAGGCGAGAGGAAGGGGACCCCUGAGGAUUUCGACCCUGCUGAUUUCCCGUCCUGAGGUACCGACCCUGCGCAGCCAGGGCUUUGCCUUGCACCAAGUCAAACAUGGAUGCAUGGGAAACAACAGUGUUUAUUAUCUCAUGUUUCCUCUCGAUGUCUCAAAACGGGUGCCUGGAGCAGGUGCUCUCUGGCUGCAGGACUCCAGGGGGAUGCAGGUCUCCAACUCCAUCCUCACCUGCAAACAGCAUCUCAGCCCGACUGCUCUGACUGCAAGGGAGUGACGGCCACAUCUGUGAUGCUUUGCAGGAUCACGGCCGUGUUGGUGGGAUGCACAGAGAAUGGCACACCAGCACCUGCCUCUGUAGCUUCCAGGGGCUGCUUUGAGAGUCUGGCACGUCUCUAAGGAACAGGUUAACUAAAGCCACAAAUGUUUCAAAAAUUAAUAUUCCCAUGUAAAUGAUUACAUUAACAUAACCCUGAGGUUAUGCUUAUGAAAUGUUUAACGCACCGAAGUGUUGCUGGUGUUCUUUCUUCUUUUUCCAUUUUUCCAGAAAUAGUGAUAACUGAGAUCAAAAGUUCAUUUCUCAACCUCCUAGUAUCUCUUUUUCUACAUUUCAGUUUUCUAUCAUCACCAAAAAUUUUUAAUUGGAGUCAGUAAGUUUCAAAAUUAAGAGUUAUAUAUCAGGAAGGUCACAUUAACCUUUUGGGGUAUUGGUCCAGGACUAUUCAACAUUUAAAAAUUUCAACAUUUUCUCAGCUACUUUAAGCUAGUUAUAAAGUUAAAACAGUUGAAGAAAAAUUUAAAGAGAGAGAAAGAAAAAGACAUAUUUUGAUUAGAAAAAGAACCUGUAAUUUGCCUCACACUUUUUCUUGGAUGGGUUUUACUUUUCAUUUGAGAUUAAUGUAUAUCUGUUCAGUACCAACAAUAUUUUUAUUGACUUCACUGGGACCUGAUCAAGCCCUGGAUUUGCAAAUAUGUCUGGAUCCAAACUCCCAGAUACCCCUGGAGAGGUGCUAAAGAUGAGAUAUCGGAUAAGGAAUGUAUUUUGGAUAACAACCUCAGAAACUCUCAUUAAAAAAGUGUUAGUUUGUCAAUGAAAAGGCAUAUGGUGCACAAGAGGCCAGUGUAAGGUUCUCCCAUGCUACAGCCUAAUUCUGACUGUCUGGACAUAUAUAACCUUGGAAAAGCAGGAAUGCUUAGAAGGGCUAGUGAUAAUUAAAUAUGUCUCACUGCUCAUCUCUUGUGUUAUCUUUGAUUUCCCAAAUGACAGAAAAAGUUGGCUAAGCUUCCACAGUGCCCUGUUUCACUGAGCAAGAAUCUAGGCUUUCCAGGAAGGUACAAAUUAGCCUUUGCAAAUUACCCCAUAGAUUAUGAAAUCUUUCCUAUUUAUAUUUCAAAACUGCAAUAACUCAGCACAGCAGUGCAAUAAUGGAAAGAUAGGUCAGUCAUGCCUCCUGCAAUGAGAGAGACCUCUUUUAGUCUGAGAGCCUGGAAGUGUAAGAAUAAAUCAC